GAUGAACGCUGGCGGCGUGCUUAACACAUGCAAGUCGAACGGGAAUUAUUUUAUUGAAACUUCGGUCGAUUUAAUUUAAUUCUAGUGGCGGACGGGUGAGUAACGCGUGGGUAACCUGCCUUAUACAGGGGGAUAACAGUCAGAAAUGGCUGCUAAUACCGCAUAAGCGCACUGAGCUGCAUGGCUCAGUGUGAAAAACUCCGGUGGUAUAAGAUGGACCCGCGUUGGAUUAGCUGGUUGGUGGGGUAACGGCACACCAAGGCGACGAUCCAUAGCCGGCCUGAGAGGGUGAACGGCCACAUUGGGACUGAGACACGGCCCAGACUCCUACGGGAGGCAGCAGUGGGGAAUAUUGCACCAUGGGGGAAACCCUGAUGCAGCGACGCCGCGUGAAGGAAGAAGUAUCUCGGUAUGUAAACUUCUAUCAGCAGGGAAGAUAGUGACGGUACCUGACUAAGAAGCCCCGGCUAACUACGUG
rnacentral:rRNA from 1 species